rnacentral:misc_RNA from 1 species
UACAGAGGGUGCAAGCGUUAAUCGGAAUUACUGGGCGUAAAGGGCACGCAGGCGGUCGGUCAAGUCGGAUGUGAAAUCCCCGGGCUCAACCUGGGAACUGCAUCCGAAACUGGCAGGCUUGAGUCUUGUAGAGGGGAGUAGAAUUCCAGGUGUAGCGGUGAAAUGCGUAGAGAUCUGGAGGAAUACCGGUGGCGAAGGCGGCCCCCUGGACAAUGACUGACGCUGAGGCGCGAAAGCGUGGGGAGCAAACAGG